rnacentral:lncRNA from 1 species
GUGAAAUCGAGUUGCUUUUAAAAGCAGGGAAAACCAGCAGCACGCCUCUGUCUGCAGUGAUUGGUGUCUCCUGCAGGGCUCUGGAUGUGGAGCUGCAUGUCCUGAGCACACAGACACUGCACAGGCUCAGGAGGGCUUCCUCGGACUCACACAUCUUCGAGGGAGAUAACUCAGGGCUGGGUCGGGUGACCCUGCUGGGAUCACGGAGGUCCAUCAGUGCUCAGUAGCCCAAUGGGCUCUGCCUGCAUCCUGUGGCUGUGCCUCCUGCUGCUGGCCCUGCCCACUCCACAUGCAGGUAUUGCUGUGCCCAGAGCUAACCUUGCUGAGGGGGCAGAUGGCUCUUCCAUCAUCAAUACCACUGUGACAGUCUACUACUGUAAAUACUGUGGGGAAGAAAAAUGCAAACCAUCUGAUUACGCAGACUGUGAAAUAAUCGGCAAAACAAAAAAGGAGAUGUUUUCAAAUGAAAAAAUUCAGCUGAUGAUCAACAAAACAUACAUUACUAUGUGUUUUCUGAAAGAAAAAGACGUGAAUCAUGAUGGAGCUUAUGCCAUUUUCUGGGAGAAGGAUGAGGGAUUAGGAGAACCGUGUGCCAUCCUGAAGUCUAGAGAUUCCCUUGAAGAUAGGAGACACAGCAUGACAGAAAAGGGAAGAAUCUGCUGUGAAACACACACAGAUCAUACAAACCCUCACAAUGUCCUGAAGUGCUACAUUGCAGCGACAGAGAAUACAGGUGACAUCCUUGAUUAUGAAGAUCUAGGUAGUCCUCAAUAUUCAGUCGAUGAAAACAACCAUGCUGGUCUCACUGCCACGUUCCUGAUUCUGGGGAUUUGUGCAGGAGGAGCACUGCUGAUCACAUAUUGCAAGAGACGUCGAGGACAUAUCAUAGUGCUCCAGCAGACUUCUCCAGAUUAAUCAAACAAGUUUCUGAAAGCAAAAACCUCAUAGUUAUUCGAAACACCAUCUACAAAAGAGAAAAUGCCAGCCGUGCGCCCCUCAGCAACGAAGCGCAGCCACCAACACCGAAACGCUUUCAGACAAGGUCUCACAGUAACGUUCACAAAUGUGCCUUCACCGCCCUCAAGCAUUCCCUGAGGACUGAGACUGCCCAAGAUGCUCAGCUCCAGCAAUACCAGAAACUUCCUGGAGCUCCUGUCCUCCUCUGGUGCUUGGCUGAGGGCCACCAUCAUCACAGGGAUGAGCAGCUGGCUCAGCAGCACAGGCUUAGUCCAGCUGACUCCUCUCAAUGGAUGAUCUGACUGUUUCAACCACGCAAACCAAAGUUGUUUGGAGAACUGCAUCUGUAGUUGGGAGAAGUGUGUGCUGAACUCUGUGACAGGUGUUCUCUAUGUGUUCUCCAUGUCAUAAUGCAAUGGCAUGGCUGUGGCUCUUCAUCCUUUAGCUCCCAAGUGGUCUCUGCAUUUACAUAGGAAAGCAUUUAGUGAGCUGACUGGUUUGGUUAGGGAGAGAGGCCUGAUCUUCAAAGCAGAUGUCCGAAACCGAAAUUGAAAAGUUAAUCAUGAAUGACAGCAAAAGAUAUGUUAAAAAUCAACUUCAGAAAUACAGAGAAGUAGUAUUUGUCUUCUUCUACAGAGAAAUAGAAGUCUAUUCUUCUAUUUCACUCUUGUAAGAUCCAAGUGCUCCCACAGCCCCAGCUAUAACAGUGGGGGCUUUAUGCACCUGCUGACCAAAAAUAAUCUUAUCUCAACUCUCUAAUGUGGUCUUCUAAUAUGGAGAGAUUUAUUUUUCCCAUAUGUAUCUUCAUGUUCUUAGGUGCAGUGUUCAAAUUGAUGGUUGAUGCUCUUUUUUCUUUUUUUUUUUUUUUUUUGUAUACCCUCAGGUUCUGAGUUCUUUGGGAAACGGACAGCAAGAUAUUUGAAAGCUUACAUUGUAUUAACUUGAGGGAUUUGGAUUUAAUAAUGAGAGGAUUUAAUUUCUAAUCUUUAACACCAGUUGGAGCCAGAGAGCUGAUCAAGUUUUUAGAAUGAAGGUUACCAGCAUGAUUCUGCCCAGUGACAGCUGUUCAGCUGUCAGUCACAAGAUGUAGUCCCAAGCUGGUCCUUGAGGCUCACCCAGACACCUUUCUUUGCAUCUCUCCUGCCUUUCUGCUGCUAUUGUGCAGCUGUGAUGUUGAGAGGUGUCACUACUAGCUGUUCCACUUUGUGGCUCCUGGGCUCUGUUUUCCUGGUAACACCAAUUCUCCAAUGUUUUGGGGAAAAAUUACUUUAAUGAUUUAUGCUUUUUGCUCGGAACAAAUGAUUUAUGUUACUUUAUGUGAGCUUUUACAAAUAAAUAUAUGCAUGCAAAUACA